rnacentral:rRNA from 1 species
GCCGCCUACGGGACGCAGCAGUGGGGAAUAUUGGGCAAUGGGCGCAAGCCUAACCCAGCAACGCCGCGUGAAGGAAGAAGGCUUUCGGGUUGUAAACUUCUUUUCUCAGGGACGAAGCAAGUGACGGUACCUGAGGAAUAAGCCACGGCUAACUACGUGCCAGCAGCCGCGGUAAUACGUAGGUGGCAAGCGUUAUCCGGAUUUACUGGGUGUAAAGGGCGUGUAGGCGGGAAAGCAAGUCAGAUGUGAAAACCACGGGCUCAACCUGUGGCCUGCCUUUGAAACUGUUUUUCUUGAGUACUGGG